CCAUCAGCAGUUCUGCUCUUGGUCUGUGAGUGUGAUUUAGGUUUCAAUUCUGAUUGUGGGUUCGACUCGCUGUCUUGGUCUUGUGGUUUG